CCUUUUAGCAGUUGCAAUGUGCAUGCUAAGAAUGUAACUUUAAAAUAAGGACUAUUUUUUACAUGACCUAACCUUUUGUUUUGCCACAGAAUUAAAAAAAAAAUAAUAAUAAUAAUAAUAAUGAAAGUAGAACUACACUUUUCAAGAAACAUGAAUCAACUAUUUGCUUCUUUGUUUAUAUCUCAAGCAGCUGUGGAUCUCAAUCAGUACAUCUCUCUGACAACACUUCUAACCAAACGAAGAGCCAAACACUAAUGUUGAUGAUGGUUAUGACGUACAUUGUUGAACCAUUAGUGGAAUACCUACUCAAGGCGAGAAAAUCUUGAGGUUCAGGCAGGGAGACGGGCUGAAAACAAGAGAAAUUGGUUUGGGCCCCCGGGAGCUGAAUCGAUCAGGUUUUCUCAAGUCUCCCUGAAAUGGGCCCAAGGAGGUUCGCAGCUGUGACAAAAAUCAAAAUCCAUUUUCUGUGGCCAAAUGUAAUGAGGACCAAAUGGUGGAUGUUCCAUUCAUCUCUCCAGCCUGUCUGAGCACUCUUAGGCCACAGGCAGCAAGGCUUGUGAAGGCAGGUGUGAAAGCUUGGGGGACAACGUCUUAUGAACAACCCCAUGA